GACAGAGGAUGCAAGCGUUAUCCGGAAUGAUUGGGCGUAAAGCGUCUGUAGGUGGCUUUUUAAGUCCGCCGUCAAAUCCCAGGGCUCAACCCUGGACAGGCGGUGGAAACUACCAAGCUGGAGUACGGUAGGGGCAGAGGGAAUUUCCGGUGGAGCGGUGAAAUGCGCAGAUAUCAGGAGGAACACCGAUGGCGAAGGCAGGUCUCUGGGCCACUACUGACGCUGAGAAGCGAAAGCAUGGGGGAGCGAACAGG
rnacentral:rRNA from 1 species